ACUCCUACGGGAGGCAGCAGUGGGGAAUUUUGCGCAAUGGGGGAAACCCUGACGCAGCAACGCCGCGUGGAGGAUGAAGUCCCUUGGGACGUAAACUCCUUUCGACCGGGACGAAUAAUGACGGUACCGGAAGAAGAAGCCCCGGCUAACUUCGUGCCAGCAGCCGCGGUAAU
rnacentral:rRNA from 1 species